CAGUAAUUUUUCUCUUUGGCCAAAAUUCUGUUACUGUAUUGAUCCUACCAGGCCACUUCACUCCUUUAGAAGAUAUCUACUUCAUCCUUUCCCUUGGCAACCACCAUUCAACUGUCUGUCAUGAGCUUUCUUAAGAAGUUAUCUUGGAAGUGGAUUCUUCAGCCCCGCUUCUUCCAGACUCUAGUAGUUUAAGUCUUUCCAGCUGGAUUUAAGGGAUGAGAGUGGAUGCAUGAAUUGAGGAGUCUCCAUCUGAGGAACUGAAAGACUGUGAAGAGCACAGCCCCCCACUGUUCACCUGAU
rnacentral:lncRNA from 1 species